AUGAGGGUCAAUGUAGUGAGGCUGUGUUGGGGGAGAGGAAAAUCUGGGAUGUCAAUCUGGAAGGCUAAUGUCCCUCAGAAGAUUCACAUUUUUGCGUGGAGGGUUGCAACUAAUAGCUUGGCUGUCCAGGUUAAUAGAGUGGUGCAUCACCAAACUUCUGUUACGAUGUGCACUAUUUGUGGAAUGGAGGAUGAAAGUGCUUUUCAUGCGCUUCUUAGGUGUCCGAAGGCGGUUGCGUUGCGGAUGGCCAUGAGGGACAUUUGGGAGUUACCUACGAAGAAUGUCUUCAGAUAUACAGGGUAUGAUUGGUUUAUUGUUCUUCUUAGUCAAUUGAGACCUGUCAUGCACGACCAAAUUAUUUUCAUUUUCUGGAGAGCCUGGCACUUGAGAAAUGACUUGAUAUUUGGUAAAGGAAAGGAAUCAGUAGCAGCUUCUGCUAGCUUUGUGGAGAAUUAUUGGGCGUCUUAUGCCGCAUGUCACUCAGUGCCUCCAGUAGAUUCGAAAAAUAAAGGAAAAGGUCCAAUGGAUGGAUUAAGAUGGGCACCUGAUAAUGUGGGAGCUAAGGCGGAUUGGACUCCCCCACCAACUGGUUUUUUAAAGAUUAAUGUUGACGCAAGCUUUGUGGAGAGAAUCAGAGAAGCAAGUGUCGGUGUGGUGGUUAGGAAUGCGGCCGGGGAAGUCAUUGUCUCUUCUUGGGACUUCAUUGGAUCGUGUCAGAGUGUGGAGGAAGCAGAGCUAAGGGCAUGCAUUGCUGGUCUAUACAUAGGUAUACCUCUCCACAAUCCUAUUAUUUCAGAGACUGAUUGUGCGUUUGUUGUGGCGUCUCUUGCAACAGAGAACCUUGAUAGGUCACCGUUGGUCGAUUUGAAGAAGGAAGCACUGAGCUUAUCUAAGCUGAUAAACAACUUUCAAAUGGCUAAGAUUAGUCGAUCCGCCAAUGUGGUGGCUCAUCUAAUAGCAAAAUUUAGUUUUGACAAUAGAUCCGAUGGUAUUCUUGUUAAUGAUGUACCGCCCUGUAUGGUAAAUUUUGUAUCGAACGAUUGUAAGUUGCGCAAUGGUUAA
rnacentral:rRNA from 1 species